ensembl:snRNA U6 U6 spliceosomal RNA
CUGCUUCUGCAGAAGAUGCACUAAAAUUGGAAUAUACAGAGAAAAUCAGCAUGACCCUGUGCAAAGAUGACGUGUAAAUUCGUGAAGUGUUCCAUAUUAAA